CUGGGCCUAGACGCAUUACACGGAAGGAAUCGGUCAACAGAGCGCGGUCGGGAAGGCUGAGUGAAACCCGAUUGGGUCGUCUUCCUCCGUCUCUCCCGAUUUCAAGCGGAGCAAAAUUCUCCCAUCACUGCUCGCCGGCCGACCUAAUUCUUCAUUUGGCCGGCCACGAAGGGGAAGAAGGAAAAGAGAUGUGAAAUCGAGAUCUAUCGUUAGAGCAAGCGAAAAAUUUUGGCGGUGUCUUUCUUCCAUUUGUUUGAUGCUUCUUCUCGCCCACGGUUGUUCGAUCUUUAACAGGAAUAAAGUAUCCUCCAUCCGGAAGUCUAAGGGAGAGAAAUUGCUUCGAGAUCGGGAAGAUGAUAACGCGCUCGAAUCUCGCGGAUCAGCUGCGGGAGUACCAGAUUCGUUCCAAGUACGAAUGGGCUACCGUCUCCUUCCUCUCCGCCUCCUCCUCCUCUUCCAAUACCUCUUCAAGUAAGGAGUGGAUUGAAGCAUGAUGCCGAUAUGGGCAAAGACCAAACACCACUAAUUCCUUGCUGGAUUCUAUGGAUCUUUGGGCUUGAGUAAUGUAUGUCAUUGUUUUUGUGACUGAUGUCAUCACGGACUUACCUAGCAGAUAUUAGGCAUCUAUGAAGAAGAAAAAAGGUAUAUGUAGAAUUUCUUUUGAAGUAAUAAAUCCUAUUUAUUUUCCGCAACUGACAGAGGGAAGGUUUGAUCAUGACAGAGAUGUUAUAUCUCUAGUCAUGCAAAGGUUGUUGGUCAACAGUUGAUAUGCACAAACAAUAGAUCGUGAUCUAUGUAUUGUUUUUUUUGCAGUAUGAGGAUAGCAGACCUUGCCUUUGGGCAUGAUUUUGUGCACAGCCUCAUGCUAGGUGCCACUUAUGCGUUAACAUAUAUUAUGCUAGGGUUCCAUAAUUUCUCCACGAGCAACAUAGAAGUAUUUCUUAGAAAAUUUUCGAUUCGCUGGUUUUCCCUGAAGCAAAGUCUACUUUGCUUAAGGUGCUACCAAUGCCUACUUGUAGUCUUGUCCUAGAUAAGGUUAAAUAGCAUAAUGGUGGUUGCUUCUGGUGGGCUGCCACCUAUAGCACUUGUUUUUGGGUGGAUCAGUUAGGAAGUGGUCAAUAGUUAUCUAUUUUGCAAUGGGAAGCCCAUCUGCUACUGUUGAUGCUGCUAUUUUUUUUGGGGUGCCUACACCGAACAAACAGUUUUCACUUAUUUUGCAUCUACUGUCAUCAAAUGGCAUAACAGACCUAGUAUUUGUCGAUUUGGGCUAACUCAAAGUUCAGUACCAAGCUAGGAUCAGUUGGCCCAAGUUUGCCCUAGCCCAACUUUGAGGUUGAAAUCCCAAACACAAGCUUGGCUAAUUACAAAAUAUGCAAACCUGGCUUAAUAGCCCGACUAUCUAUUCUGAUCUUAGAAGGCUAUCGAGGGAGGAGAUGGAGUAGGGUUCCAACAUGAGACAGGCUUAGGCUAGGGAGAAGUCUGAGAUGAGUGCUAGAGGGAGUAUGUUAGGACUUGUCCAUGGAAAGAGAUGAGAUUGAAGCAAGACACAGAACUAGAAAAGGGAGUGAGGGUCUUGGCAUAGAUUAUGCCUUGGUCAGGAGAGAGUCAAGAUUGGUAUGAGAGAUAGAACGCAUGGGAAGGUUGUUCCAUCAUAGCUCAGACCCUGAUCAAAUAUAGGUGUUAAAGCAUGGUGGUCAAAGGGUUAUUGAAAAGAAUGUAACAAGGGAAGCUUGUCAGUUGCAAUUGAAGAGGACAAGUGGAGAUGGGGCCAACUUCUCUUUACCUUUUAUUCAAGUUUUAUAUUUAAAAAUAAGAUGUAUUGUAGAUUUAAAUUUUACACUUAUCUUAUAAUGUAUUCCAUAACAAUUAUAUCAUAUCAUAUAUCUUGUCAUAUAGUUUUAACAUAAAAGCCAUAUAUGUUGUGCCAGGAUAGAAAUUUAUCAAACCCAAGCUUGGCCUGGAUCCUGUUCGAACCUGAAACUCUAGGCUUAGCCUAAUUUUUCUAGCCCAAAUUCUCUUUGUAGGCUUGCCAAAAACUAGGCUGGGCUAGAUUUUUCUAGGUCUAGGUGUGGGACAACUACAAUGAUGCCUUCCUUUGUUCCAUGGAAUGGAGGGCGUGGGAGACUUGCGUGGCUUUAAUGCUAUGUGGAACUAGAUGUAUGUUAUCAUCUUGGAGAAGGGUGGUAGGUUAUGACACUACGACCGUUGCUCAAACCUAUUUGGAUUGGUAUGGGACCUACACAAUCCAUAUCUUCAUCGCAAAGCUCCUUAAGGUGAUAAAGGGGGUGGUGAAAGACAUAACGUUCUAUGGAUCUACAGGGAAAGGUACAGACAGCGCAAACAUGGCAUACAACAUGGAGAAGCACUUUAAAUUGCUGAAGAAUGCCAAAAGGAUUAUAUCAAUUGUAGUCUCUGAAGAAUUGUAUGCUUGCAAAAUGUCUAUUCCUAAGAUAACCGCCAGGCACAACAUGAAGGCCAAAGAUGUAACCUCGGUUGCUUAUAUUAAAGGUGAUCGGAGAAUGUGGUCUACUGUUGUUUGUUGUGAUGCAUAGAUUCUAGGAUGCAUUUUUUAGAUAAUUCCAAGCUCUAAAGGGAGCACAAAGGGAUUCUUAUCAGAACCCAUGUCUGCCUAUGGCAUCACCAUCUCAUAAAUAAGCAUUGAUAUAUUUAAAAGGGCAGUAGUUGUUAAUUUGAUGUAUAGACACUAUCACAAGCCUUUGCUCCAAUGCUUCCUAAAUGUGAGAUUGCAGAUUGUUGAUUAAUAUGGAUAGUCGUGCACUAGAACUUUUGAUGGUUGCCCAUUUAGGAGCUCCAGUCCAUCUAGCAGAGAAUUAUGAUGGAUUCAAUGCCCUUGUGGUGGCUAAGGUAGGAUAUCAUUCUGUUAUUUGAUCAUAAUUCUACCAUUUUUUUUUUUGCCUAAUCUUGGUAAAACUUCCACUUAAAUAUAAAGCAAAGAGUUUUGCCAUGAGUUUGCAAAAUUCGUAUUUACCAAGUCAAAAAUGCCAACUAUCUCUAACAGUUUGCACUCUUCUCCAACUCAUAACUUGUUUUUUCACCUUUUCUUGUUAUGUACCAUCAUCAACACUGCAUUUUUGUCGAUAUCAACAUCAUGUCAGCCAUUCCUUGAAUAUUUUGCUGACUUAUGUUUUUAUAUUUCUUUCCUUUUUUCUGAGAAAACUGAUUGAUCAAGCUUAUGUGUCAGUGAAAUUAAAAUAAAUUACUGAUUAGUCUUUUUUUUUUUGGUAGACUUGCAUCAUGCAAGUUAAUCAGAGACAUAAAAUGCUAUAAAGUUCUGCAGCUAUUUAUAGAAUUUUACCAACCCUUUUAGGCAUAUCAGAGUUCUGAUUCCAUGGAUGUUCCUAUCUUUUGA